CCUACGGGAGACAGCAGUGGGGAAUAUUGCACAAUGGGCGAAAGCCUGAUGCAGCAACGCCGCGUGAAGGAAGAAGGGUUUCGGCUCGUAAACUUCUAUCAACAAGGACGAAAGAAAAGACGGUAGCUGAAUAAGAAGCCCCGGCUAACUACGUGCCAGCAGCCGCGGUAAUACGGAGGGGGCAAGCGUUAUCCGGCAUUACUGGGUGUAAAGGGUGAGUAGGCGGGUUGGUAAGCCAGAUGUGAAAGCCUUGGGCUUAACCCGAAGAUUGCAUUUGGAACUAGCAAGCUAGAGUACAGGAGAGGUAAGCGGAAUUCCUAGUGUAGCGGUGAAAUGCGUAGAUAUUAGGAAGAACACCAGUGGCGAAGGCGGCUUUCUGGACUGAAACUGACGCUGAGGCACGAAAGCGUGGGGAGCGAACAGGAUUAGAUACCCCAGUAGUC
rnacentral:rRNA from 1 species